rnacentral:tRNA from 1 species
GCCAUGGUGGUCCAGCGGUUAGAACGCUGGCCUUGUAAUCCUGGGGUCUCGGGUUCGAUUCCCGGCGGUGCCC